rnacentral:rRNA from 1 species
UACGGGGGGGGCAAGCGUUGUUCGGAAUUACUGGGCGUAAAGGGCGCGUAGGCGGUUCGUUAAGUCCUGUGUGAAAUCCCCCGGCUCAACUGGGGAACUGCACAGGAAACUAGCGGGCUUGAGUUCGGGAGAGGGAAGCGGAAUUCCGGGUGUAGCGGUGAAAUGCGUAGAUAUCCGGAGGAACACCGGUGGCGAAGGCGGCUUCCUGGACCGACACUGACGCUGAGGCGCGAAAGCUAGGGGAGCAAACGGG